CGCCCAACAAGUCGGGGUAGGGUAGGUGCUCGCUCCCAGGAGGGAACAGAGAACAGCAUCCCUGAACGAGGCAAUGCUUCCCGGAGCGCCUUCAGGGCUGAAUCCGGCAGGCUGUGGGCACGCGGUGCAAUUUACAUACUUAAUGCCAGCAACAGAUCUGUGCCCUGACAUUUCUCCGUGGCCUUGACGUCGGGCUGUUUUCCUUUCCAGUGGGGAAAAAAAAGCACAGCGGUGACAUGAACUUAGAACUAUGGCAACUGACUGUAGAAGUGUUCUGCACUCUCCAAGGAGUCUGUUCACCAGGGACAGGGUGUACUUUCUCACACUGAGGAAGAGGUAACGAGGAAGCACGAGACCCAGGAGAGCGUGACUCCAUCCUGGAGUGGUUGGCCAUUUCCUUCUCUACCUCUUUUUACAGAUGAGGAAACUGAAAGUAAAUAGGGCUAAGUGACUUGCCCAAGGUCACACAGCAAGAGAGCGCAACAGUGGUAAGAGCAAUCUAUUUGGAGUCUGCUACUUACUUCCUAUGGGCAAAUCAUUCUUCCUCUCUGGACCUCAGUUUCUUCAUUUGUAAAAUGAGCAGAAUGGACUAGAUAGUCCCUAAGUUCCCUUCCAACUAGAAGUCUGUGAGUAGGAGUCUUGGUUCCUACCUCUUUCCUGGUAAAUUACUUAUCUCAAUGUCAUGAUAAAUAAAAUUUGCUUCCAGUAGUUUCCUUUGUAACCAUGUUAGGUACAGCUCCUUUUUGAUAAAUAUAUAUUGUUUUCUUUAAAAAAAAAAAAAGAGGUUGUUGAUAUCUUGUGUUUUUAUAUCACCUCUAUUUCCCUCUGUAUCCUUCCUCUCAUUCCUUCCCAGAGGGCAUCCUUUAUGAUGAAUAAAAAAGUUGAGAAAAAACCUCUGCAAGAAAGAGGAGAGAAGGUAUCUCCCCCAUGUCUCUUCUUUGGGGCCGAAGUCACUAUAAUUUGCUGCAUUUGGUUUUAGAGUGUGUG